rnacentral:rRNA from 1 species
AUGAAAUCUUGGAAUGCCAUCAAGCGGCUACCGGCGCGCAAGGCCCCGGGGCCGGACGGCUUUACCACCGAGUUCCUCCGCGCCUGCUGGCCCAUCGCCAAGGAUGAUUUCGCCGCCGUCUUUCAGCAGCUCUACGACUUGCGUGGCCGCGGAUUCUCACGCCUAAAUGAAGCCCUCCUAUCAUUGCUGCCAAAGCACGCCGAUGCGCGCGGUCUGCGAGUCUACAGACCGAUCAGCUCAUUCACUUGGUGGUCAAGAUCUUCGCCAAGGUGUUGUCGCUCCGCCUUGCGCCAAAGCUUGACUCGCUCGUCAACAACAACCAGAACGCCUUCAUCUCCGGCCGCAGUUUGCACGACAAUUUUGUCCUUGUUCGGCAGUCCGCACACUUGCUGCACCAGCUCGGGGCGCCGCAUAUCCUCCUCAAGCUUGACCUUGCUCGCACCUUCGACUCGCUUUCAUGGCCAUUUCUCUUCGAGGUGCUGCGACAGUACGACUUCGAAGACAGAUCCUUGGAGUGGCUCGCGAUCUUGCUGUCUUCUGCUAGCACGAAGGUGCUGCUCAACGGGAGUCCUGGCCCCCCAAUUUGGCAUCGCCAGGGCCUACGCCAAGGUGACCCCAUCUCACCUCAGUUGUUCGUCCUCGCCGUGGACACUCUUGGGCGCCAAUUCAAGCGAGUUGCGGACAUGGGAAUCCUACAGAUUGCAUCCCACAAGGUCCAUCCGGCCAAUCUCGCUAUAUGCGGACGACGUCGUCCUAUUCUGCCAUCCCAACUCUAAUGACAUUGAAGCUGUCAAGGCCAUCCUGCACUUGUUCGGCCGGGCCUUUGGAUUGCAUGUGAACUACGCCAAGAGCUCAGCCACGCUCAUUCGUUGCAAGGCCGACAAGGCUGCCCCAGCCGUCCAGCUCCUGGGUUGCCCAAUCGUCGAGUUCCCCCUCACCUACCUAGGCAUCCCCCUUACCAUCCGACACCCUACUGUUGCCCAGCUGCUACCCCUCGUCGACAGGGUGGCCAGGAGCCUCCCCUCUUGGAAGGCAUGGCUGAUGAACCGAGCCGGCCGCCUCGCCCUAGUGAAAUCGGUCCUAGGCGCGAUUCCGCUCCACCAGUUGCUUGUGCUUGCCCCUCCAAAGAAGACUCUCAGGCUGCUCGAAAAAGUCCAGUGCGGCUUCCUUUGGGCUGGCCGCGCCGAAGCCAACGGAGGACACUGCCAUGUCAAUUGGCGCCAUGUCGCCCGCCCAUUGUCCAUGGGUGGGCUAGGAGUCCACGAUCUGGAGCGCACGGGCCUAUCGCUUCGUGUUCGAUGGCUUUGGUUCAGCUGCACCGACGAACGUCGCGCUUGGAAUGGCUUGGACCUGCAGUUUUCCACUGAGGAGCGUGCAUUUUUCUUUGCUAGCACCUACACCGUCAAACCACGAAGUUCUGGGAGGACAGAUGGAUUGAAGGAUGCUUCGUUCGUGAAAUCGCGCCGCUUCUGCACUCAUGCAUCCCCAGAAGGCGAAGGAAAGCUACGACGGUGGCCGACGGCUUGCCGGGACACCUCUGGGCGCGGGACAUCCAUGGAGUUGUGGACAUUCACGAAAUCAGCCAGUAUAUCUUACUCUGGCGCCUGA